UUUCCGUAGGUGAACCUGCGGAAGGAUCAUUAAAGAAAUAGACCCCCCGAAAUUUAUUUUUAAAUUUGUUUUUAUUGAUAAAGGCGUGGGCGAGUCCAAACCAAACCCAAUGUGAACUGUAACCUCUUUUUCAAACGCGCCCAAGUCUCAGUGUAUUAAAUUUAUAACAAAAGUUGAAAACAACUUUCAGCAACGGAUCUCUUGGCUCUCACAUCGAUGAAGAACGCAGC
rnacentral:misc_RNA from 1 species